rnacentral:rRNA from 1 species
AGAAUCAACGCUGGCGGCGUGCCUAACACAUGCAAGUCGAACGAGAAAGUGGAGCAAUCCAUGAGUAAAGUGGCGCACGGGUGAGUAACACGUGACUAACCCACCCUUGAGUGGGGGAUAACCUAGGGAAACCUGGGCUAAUACCGCAUAAUACCUUCGGGUCAAAGGAGCAAUUCGCUUAAGGAGGGGGUCGCGGCCGAUUAGUUAGUUGGCGGGGUAAUGGCCCACCAAGACUGUGAUCGGUAU